rnacentral:rRNA from 1 species
GAUGAACGCUGGCGGCGUGCCUAAUACAUGCAAGUCGAGCGAACAGAUGAGGAGCUUGCUCCUCUGACGUUAGCGGCGGACGGGUGAGUAACACGUGGAUAACCUACCUAUAAGACUGGGAUAACUUCGGGAAACCGGAGCUACUACCGGAUAAUAUAUUGAACCGCAUGGUUCAAUAGUGAAAGACGGUUUUGCUGUCACUUAUAGAUGGAUCCGCGCCGCAUUAGCUAGUUGGUAAGGUAACGGCUUACCAAGGCAACGAUGCGUAGCCGACCUGAGAGGGGGAUCGGCCACACUGGAACUGAGACACGGUCCAGACUCCUACGGGAGGCAGCAGUAGGGAAUCUUCCGCAAUGGGCGAAAGCCUGACGGAGCAACGCCGCGUGAGUGAUGAAGGUCUUCGGAUCGUAAAACUCUGUUAUUAGGGAAGAACAAAUGUGUAAGUAACUAUGCACGUCUUGACGGUACCUAAUCAGAAAGCCACGGCUAACUACGUG